rnacentral:lncRNA from 1 species
AAAAGAUAAAUGCUGAGAAGUGAGGGGUUGUUUGUUUGUUUUUGGCUUGUUUUUUGUUUCAUUGAAUUGUUUUAGGCCCAAGCAAUAUAAAAGGCAGAAAUAAAGGCAUAUUGGUCUCUGAUCAUUUGUCAAGAAAAGGUUAUAUUUUUCUAUGUGUUAACACACUCCUUAGCAAAUACUUAUAGUUUCUUCUGAACCUACAGAGAUAGUGGCAGCCCCAGAGCCAAGGGAGGCAUCUGCUAUGUUGUGGGUCACACAUUAUGUCCAGCUCUGCUUACUCUCAAAAUUUCCAUUAUUUCUCACAGUUUUCAAAUAAACAAACAGCCUUAAUCAGGACAAGAAACUUACUAAACUCACAUAAUAAAACUAUUUUACCCCUACUGGAACCCAAAUUUUAAGCCCAUAAAUAUUCUUCUUCACAUAGGUGGACAUAUUUUAUUGAAAAUUUUCUUAGUCCCUGCAAAUUGUAAAAAUUGGGAAUUCCACCCUGGUUUCCUUUUGAUUCAGUAUCCCAUGACCCCAGCCCCUUUAUUUGUAGGGAGAGACAGCAAACACAAGGAGAGAUAAUAAGACAGCUGGGUGGGACCCUGCCCUGAAAUUACCAUUUUGACCACACCUAUAGAUAAAUUUGCUCUGUCCCAGGCUAACCUUGAACUCACAAUCUGCCUGCAUUUGUAUCUGCCCGUCUUUGUAUCUUUCUGACAAGCUGGCUCAUAAGGCAGCUGCCUCUGUUCCUUUAGAUUUGUGAAGUUCCUUAUACAAUUCACGAUGCAACCUUAUAUAAUACAUAGUUGAGAAAUUAUAUAUUUUCAAACUCAGGUUUUCAGUGUUCUUUCCCGUAGCCUUAAGGUUGUCCUGAAGGUCACAGCACUCUGCUAUUUUGCUGAUACAUAGACAUGCUCUCACCUUCCCUGACUAUCAUGGAGCUUUAACCUUUGCAGAGAAGGCAUUCCUUGAAGGAGGAAUGUGAAAAUAUGUACACUGUCAUAUAAACAAGCCUUAUGUCCACAGCACCCAUCAACACUCAUGGCAGCAGCCCAUGCCAUAAUGUCUCUAUUCCAUGGGCAGGAAAUUAUGUCAUACUGUCUGCUACAUGGUCAUGCCAGGCUUUGCACUAGUUUUAUAAAUUUAGUGAUUGCACUGAUUGCCUUUUUGAUAUUUAAUUUUGAAUUCUUUAUAUAUUCUGGAUGUUAAUCUCCUGUCAGAUGAAUAGCCAGCAAAGAUUUUCAGUCUUUCUGUGGACUGCCUCUUCACAAAUAUCUCUGCUUACCCUAUUCGAGUCAUUGGAUACAAGGAAAAGCAGUGACGUUGACCAUUUAACCACAGGUAACAUUCAUGUGAAACAUCACAUUUUAGAAAACAAAAUAUAUUAAAUAUCAUGUUUUAUAAUGUACACACUAUGUGUUGUUUAACACAGAUUUCUAUGCACAUAAUACAUAGAAUUGCACACUUGUAUAUAGCCUCUUAUAUACAGGUGUUUUUGUGCUUGUUUUAUGAUCUAUAACAUUUAAAGAUGGUUUUGACUUUUGUUUCUAACAAGUGUUAAAGCCUGAAACCUUUCCUAGGCUUGUACUCUUAUCCUGGCAUUUUAUGAAAACAUUUACCUUCUGACCUCUACCCUCCCUAACCUGCUUUCUGCUUGGUGACCUUAAAAACAAACACAUAUGAAAUGAAUUAUAUUUAAGCUUUGGAGCAAUAUUUCUUUUUAGGAAGUCACAAAAAGAUGCAAUUCUAUUUUUCAAAAAAGUAAUUUCGUUUGAGAAAGCAGAACUGACAUGUAAGCAGUUGGUGGUUAGAGAAAGAAAACAUCAUUUGUUGUCAAGAUCCUCUCAUUCACAACAGGUGGGUUUGCAAAGACACGGUAGGACAGCUGCUGGAGUGGGAAAGCUUUCAUUUCCAUUUUUAAAAACCUUCAAGUAAUACAUGAUUCUUAAGGAUUCAUAGUUUCUUGAACAUGCAACAUGCCUUCCUCCAUGAGUGAUUGUUCCCCACUCCUUCCUCCAUGAUUGCUUCCAACAGAGUUUUCAGCCAGAACUGUGACCCUGGGAAUAAGGCAACACAGUGUGUACCCUAGCAAUGUAUCCCUCUGACAGUGCUUCCUGGAAUUGUGGUUUUAUUGACUUAAGACCUGUUUAUUCAACUUAAGGAGAGAAUGGAAACUUUGUAGACAUUGUUUGUUUGUUUGUUUGUUUGUUUUAAGACAGGGUUUUUCUGUGCAACUCCAAUGGUCCUGGAACUCACUCUGUAGACCAGCCUAGCUUCAAACUCAGAAAUCCAUCUGCCUCUGCCUCUGCCUCCUGAGUUCUGGGAAUAAAGGCGUGGGCCACCACUGCCCAGCUAACAUUCUUACAUCCAGGCUCCCAAGCACUUGAGUUAAAUUCAUCUCAGUUUUUCUGCCACUGAAAUGAGAUAUUUGUUUUUAUUUUUUAUGGAGAUUUUGCUUUUUGAAUUGUAGAAGUGGAGAAGUGUAGGAGAGCAGAGGUCAAUAGGUAACAAAUGAGCACGAACAAAUACAUUCUGCUUAUUCUUGGGAUUUAAUCCUAUCCCCUUAUUUCUUAGUUCUGUGACACUUUGGUAUGUUGCUUCACUGUAUUAUCUACCUAGCAGUGUCUUGAUUGGUGAUAUCACCAUGCCCUUAGAAUCAAGAUUGCAUACAGUAAUCCUUGGUUCAAAGUAGGUUGAUGCUGGGAUUUAUGGUUAUUGUUUUCAUUGUUACAUUCUCUUUAUCGGCAUCUGAAAAUAUCACCAGGAUAAGGAAGAAUGCCUGCAUGGACCUCAAUAACUUAUGGGGUAUUUUGUCAAGCAGUGUGUCUACUGCUUCUAUUUUGUUUUUGUUUAGUACACUGUGCAUUUCCUUUCCUCCAUCUCCCUCUCUUUUUCUUUUAGAUAGCAUCUUGCAAUGUAUCAUACUUGUCUGGCAUUCAUGACUUUCUUAAGUGCUAGUUUCACAGGUAUGCUUCACUGCGCCUGGCUUUCCUAUUCAUUGCCUAUUUAUGUGAUACAAUACCUCAGUAUUCUUGCUCUGUGUCUAUUGACAGCUUUUCUGGCCAUGCUUCAUUUUGCUGUCAUUGUUCUAGAUACUAGAAGAAGCCCUUACAACUACAAUUUAUCCUGAGCACUCUAAUUUGGAGCUUCAAUGGUUCUAUCAAUUAAUUGUGUUGGGUGUCUUUUCUCAUAGUGACCACAUUAAUUCUAUUUAUAUUUGAGCCCAUGAAAUUCUACGAAAGACAAUUGAGAUGAUAUAUUUUUCCACGCAAAAUAUUUGCACAGGUCCUCACAUUCCUGAGGGAAACAAUUCUUUGUUGUUUUUCUGUCUCUUCUAUGUUCAUCAAUAUUGGUCAUGCAAACCAAAUGCCGAUACCAAACACCUACUUCAGACCACACAGCUAGUGAGCAGGAGAACUCAUAGCCCAGAGUUCUCUGUGUCGCAGUGGAGUUUAGCAAGGAAGGUAGCUGCAUAGGUAAGUGGUCAGUCAACUGCUGCUCUGCCUGUGAGUCACGUUCAUCUCAGAGCCUUCUUUGCCCAUGAAGUCACACCACUCAUUCAUUUACAUAUUAUCUAUGGCUGUUUGAAUCCUAGAACAGGAGAAUUGACUAGUUGUGACAGACACCAUCUGGUUCACAAAGUCUAAAAUAUUUAUGAUCUUGCCCUUCACACUGAAAGCUUGCUGGCAUCUGGUGUAAAUCACACUGAGAUUUUACAAAGCAGAAGUGUUGAAUUCUAGGAAGGUCCUAGUGAGGACUUCUAUGGCCAGUCUCCUGCCCACUUUAAUGCAGGUGAAUAGAACACUGGCUUCACAAAUCCAAGAGUCCCUCAGGAAGGAAGACCGAAACACACUGUAGGGAGAGAAGACUUUAAUUACCUAGCUAUCUACUGUUAAAGCAGCUGGGCAGGAUGUAGAUGUUCUUAUUAGUCACUUUAAAAGAGUUACUGGUAGAGUUUAACAUGGAAGAUGGGGAAAGCUGGAGAGAGCAGAGCAAGUUGCAAGUUUUCUUUACCUGGUUAU